rnacentral:tmRNA from 1 species
GGGGGCGUCACGGUUUCGACGGGCGCGCUCUGGCGAAGGAAGCAGGCGGAGUUCCGAGCACUCCUAAAACGAUCGGACAACGUAUAAACGCAAACAGCGAAUACGCACUGGCAGCCUAAUCUAGGCUAACCACGCCUGCGGGGCAACGGCGCCGUCACGGGCCCGCAGGUGUCAAACAAGUACGGCUACCGGCGUAGGUGUCUUGAUGCGCUGGGAAAUGAAGCGAGACUAGUGGCCGCGGCAAUCCCGCUCGGGGGAGUACGUGGCUGCGAAUCAAAAGCCCGAGCUAAGCCUGUAGAUGCCGUCGUGGGAGCCGUUUCGGACACCGGUUCAACUCCGGUCGCCUCCACCA